CAGACGAUGCGUCAUGCAUAUCAAUAAGUGGAGGAAAAGGAUUUCCGAAUGUGGGAGGGCUACCUACGCUUAGGAUGUUGACACACGCGCGUGCUCGGCUCUAUGACAUGACUCUGUGCAUAUCAAUAAGCGGAGGAAAAGAAACUAACAAGGAUUCCCUUAGUAACGGCGAGUGAAGCGGGAAGAGCUCAAAUUUGAAAUCUUCAAGGUUUUACCUUGACGAAUUGUAGUUUAAAGAAGUGUUUUCUGCUGAAGUUUUGGUAAAAGUUCUUUGGAAUAGGACAUCAUAGAGGGUGAGAAUCCCGUAUUUGACCAUUAUUUUCAGCUUUGUGAUACACUUUCAAAGAGUCGGAUUGUUUGGGAAUGCAGUCCAAAAUGGGUGGUAAAUUUCAUCUAAAGCUAAAUAUUGGCGAGAGACCGAUAGCGAACAAGUACCGUGAGGGAAAGAUGAAAAGAACUUUGAAAAGAGAGUUAAACAGUACGUGAAAUUGUCAAAAGGGAAGCGUUUGACACCAGUGUUGUUUUCUCGAAAAUCAAUUAAAAAUGGCUCGAUUUUGUCUUGCUUGAGACCUUAAAAGCUCACUGUACAUUUUUCGUGUCUUUUUUAAUGCACUUUUCGUUUAACAAGUCAACAUCAGUUUCUUUUGUUGUAAAAGGGUCAUUGGAAGGUGGCUUUCUUUUCGGAGAAAGUGUUUAUAGCCUUUGGCCUCUGCAAUCGGAGAGACUGAGGUCUGCAGCGUAGACUCUUCGGGGUUAGAUACAUUUGUGCUAAGUUAUAGCUUUUUAUAGACAACUUGUUGACUAUAAUUAGUCUUGUAGCUUACUCGCUUAUGCUAUUUUACCUACGCUUAGGAUGUUGAAGAUGUAGCACAUCAU
rnacentral:rRNA from 1 species